UGCAGUCGAGCGCUACCUUCGGGUGGAGCGGCGGACGGGUUAGUAACGCGUGGGAAUAUACCCUUCACUAUGGAAUAGCCUCGGGAAACUGAGAGUAAUACCAUAUACGCCCUUCGGGGGAAAGAUUUAUCGGUGAAGGAUUAGCCCGCGUAAGAUUAGAUAGUUGGUGGGGUAAUGGCCUACCAAGUCUACGAUCUUUAGCUGGUUUUAGAGGAUGAUCAGCAACACUGGGACUGAGACACGGCCCAGACUCCUACGGGAGGCAGCAGUGGGGAAUCUUAGACAAUGGGCGCAAGCCUGAUCUAGCCAUGCCGCGUGAGUGAUGAAGGUCUUAGGAUCGUAAAGCUCUUUCGCUAGGGAUGAUAAUGACAGUACCUAGUAAAGAAGCCCCGGCUAACUCCGUGCCAGCAGCCGCGGUAAUACGGAGGGGGCUAGCGUUGUUCGGAAUUACUGGGCGUAAAGCGUACGUAGGCGGAUCAGAAAGUAUGGGGUGAAAUCCCAGGGCUUAACCCUGGAACUGCCUCAUAAACUCCUGGUCUUGAGUUCGAGAGAGGUGAGUGGAAUUCCAAGUGUAGAGGUGAAAUUCGUAGAUAUUUGGAGGAACACCAGUGGCGAAGGCGGCUCACUGGCUCGAUACUGACGCUGAGGUACGAAAGUGUGGGGAGCAAACAGGAUUA
rnacentral:rRNA from 1 species